CGGCGACGUCUCCACGGCAACAUCCUCCCAGUCCGUCUGUCGAAAAUCCUCACGCUUCGUCACCAGUAAAAGAUGGAAAGCUUUGCUGUGCUCAAAAUUAAAGCUCGGAUUAUAAAACCAAUGAAGGGGAGCAAAAUAUCGCCGUUUAUGAAUUGUUUUUGAGAAGUAACUCAUGGAGGCCCACGAGCUGGUGUGUGGACUGAUGCAGUACAGGAGACAAGCAGCCAAACCUCACAAACGCCUUAUGUCGUGCUCCAGUUCCCGUGACCGUCAUGGAACAUGGACAGUCAGUAGCCAGCCGGUGUGGAGACGAGGCUCAAAGAAAACUGGACAUAUUGUCAGGAAAGUGUGACACGAGGGCCGCUGUGGACAUACGAUCCAUAAAUGUGGUUCCUAAUCAUCCUUUCUGUACUGUGAUCAAUCACUGAAGCUAUGCUGGACCGCUCACUGCCAGUUCAUGAUUAUAUAAUCUCAACUAUGAUGCUCAAAAAAUAGUUUUUCCUAUUCGCUGUAAUUGUGGACAUCUCUAGAGGUUAAUUUCUAGAUAUAGUUCACCUAGAAAUUGAAAUUCUGUCAUCAUUUAGUCACCCUCAUUGUCAUUGCAAACAUAUGAGAAAUUUUGAAAAAUGUACUUACUGUAUUUUUUUUUUUCUGUCGUUACAAUGCUUCAAAAUAGACACAAACAGCAAGUGAAGUCAUUUUUCUGAAGCCAUAUGAUAGCUGUGCAUGAGGAGCAGAAAAUUUUUUUGUGUUCAACAGAGAAAAGAAAGUUAGUCAUACGCAUUUGGAAUAACAUAAGGGUGAGAAAACAUUGACAGAAUUUUAAUUUAUGAGUGAACUAAUCUUUGAAGAAUGUUUGUAGAACCAGAUUUUUUGUUAGUGAUUUGAAAGCUGCAAUUAUCACAUAAACUUAAUGUGUGUUGUGGUAACCAAACGCAAAGUUCCGUCACAAUUUGAGGUGAUUCAAGAUCUCCUGUCACAUUAACAAUGUAAUCUCACUGUGCACUUAAGUAUGGAAAUGAAUCCCAGAUUGCAGCGUUCAACCUGCAUCGCUUUUGAUGAAAAUCAUCUGCUACUUUUUUUUUAACAUGAUUUAUAUGUUUCUUAUUCAAUUUGUUGUUUCUGACCUUAUUACAAUUUGUAAAUGAAUUGCAAAUUAUUGUUUUAGAUGUGACAAGUCAAGUGUAAACCUGUGUAUCCAACUGUGUAUUGAGACUCAUUAAAUAUGCAUAUGCACUGGAACAGAUUUUGAGAAAUUUAGCAUUACAUCACUUGCUCAACAGUGGAUCCACUGCAACAUUAAAAACAUUGCAAUAAUCCACACAUCUCCAUCAGUUAAUGUCUUGUGAAGC
ensembl:lncRNA